UACCAGCACCCCGAGUGGUCGGGACGAUUAUUGGGCCUAAAGCAUCCGUAGCCGGUCUUACAAGUCCCCCGUUAAAUCCAACUGCUUAACAGAUGGGCUGCGGAGGAUACUAUAAGACUAGGAGGCAGGAGAGGCAAGCGGUACUCAGUGGGUAGGGGUAAAAUCCGUUCGUAUCCAUUGAAGACCACCAGUGGCGAAGGCGGCUUGCCAGAAUGCGCUCGACGGUGAGGGAUGAAAGCUGGGGGAGCAAACCGG
rnacentral:rRNA from 1 species